UGGCUAGUAGCUCAAUGGUAGAGCACACGGCUGUUAACCGUGCGGUUGCAAGUUCGAGUCUUGCCUAGCCAG
rnacentral:tRNA from 1 species